rnacentral:lncRNA from 1 species
UGCUUCUCCUGAAAUCAAUGUAGAUGACAGUUCUACGAUCACCUUCACUCAUUUUGGAUGCAUUAGAGAAAAUGGCAAUGUGAAAAAUUGAAAAUAAAACAAAACAAAACAAAACAAAAACAAAACCUAAACUUGGAGAAAACAAGAUUUGGCAUCUGGAUCUCAACUCACAAGCCGGCCUGCCCAGGUUACAGCUUUGCUCUUGAUGUAAGUGUUUUGAGUUUUCACAUAUGAUUCUCUCUCUAAAGCUU